ACGGGAGGCAGCAGUGGGGAAUAUUGGACAAUGGGGGAAACCCUGAUCCAGCGACGCCGCGUGAGUGAAGAAGUAUUUCGGUAUGUAAAGCUCUAUCAGCAAGGAAGAAAAUGACGGUACUUGACUAAGAAGCCCCGGCUAACUACGUGCCAGCAGCCGCGGUAAUACGUAGGGGGCAAGCGUUAUCCGGAUUUACUGGGUGUAAAGGGAGCGUAGACGGCAUAGCAAGUCUGAAGUGAAAUGCAUGGGCUCAACCCAUGAACUGCUUUGGAAACUGUUAAGCUAGAGUGCAGGAGAGGUAAGUGGAAUUCCUAGUGUAGCGGUGAAAUGCGCAGAUAUUAGGAGGAACACCAGUGGCGAAGGCGGCUUACUGGACUGUAACUGACGUUGAGGCUCGAAAGCGUGGGGAGCAAACAGGAUUAGAUACCCUGGUA
rnacentral:rRNA from 1 species